UGAGGUAUUUAUUCAUGUUGAG
rnacentral:miRNA from 1 species